rnacentral:rRNA from 1 species
AUCAAUAAGCGGAGGAAAAGAAACUAACAAGGAUUCCCCUAGUAACGGCGAGUGAACAGGGAACAAGCUCAAAGUUGGAAUCUAUCUGGCUUAGCCAGAUCGAGUUGUAAACUUUAGAGUCGUUAUCCAGAUCAGCCGAGUAAAUAAGUUCCUUGGAAUAGGACAUCAUGGAGGGUGAGAAUCCCGUCUUUGGCUUGAGCAUUGAUCUUUUGUGAUGCGGCUUCAACGAGUCAGGUUGUUUGGGAAUGCAGCCUUAAUUGGGUGGUAAAUCUCACCUAAAGCUAAAUAUUGGCGAGAGACCGAUAGCGAACAAGUACCGUGAGGGAAAGAUGAAAAGAACUUUGAAAAGAGAGUUAAACAGUAUGUGAAAUUGCUGAAAGGGAACCGUUUGAAGCCAGUCUGGCUGGUCUGCAAUCAACUUCAGUUUUUACUGGAGUGCACUUGUAGGCCGUUUGCCUGCCAACAACAGUUUAUUCUGUAGCAAAAAGGUGCUGAGAAUGUGGCUUGCCUUCGGGUAAGUGUUAUAGCUCGGUACGAAAUACUACGGUUUAGACUGAGGAUCGCAGUGAAUGCUUUUUGGCUUUGGAAGUGGGUUGCUCAGAUUUUACCAAGUUAGUUUCGGCCGUAAAAAAGUCGUGCUGGUUUGUUGAGGUCUGACUCGGCUUGCUUGCUUUUAAUUCACUUUGGUUGUUGGCGUAAUGGCUUUCAAU